rnacentral:rRNA from 1 species
GCUGGCGGCAUGCCUAACACAUGCAAGUCGAACGAAGGCUUCGGCCUUAGUGGCGCACGGGUGCGUAACGCGUGGGAAUCUGCCCUUAGGUACGGAAUAACUCAGGGAAACUUGAGCUAAUACCGUAUAAUGACUCCGGUCCAAAGAUUUAUCGCCUGAGGAUGAGCCCGCGUCGGAUUAGCUAGUUGGUGAGGUAAAAGCUCACCAAGGCGACGAUCCGUAGCUGGUCUGAGAGGAUGAUCAGCCACACUGGGACUGAGACACGGCCCAGACUCCUACGGGAGGCAGCAGUGGGGAAUAUUGGACAAUGGGCGAAAGCCUGAUCCAGCAAUGCCGCGUGAGUGAUGAAGGCCUUAGGGUUGUAAAGCUCUUUUACCCGGGAUGAUAAUGACAGUACCGGGAGAAUAAGCCCCGGCUAACUCCGUGCCAGCAGCCGCGGUAAUACGGAGGGGGCUAGCGUUGUUCGGAAUUACUGGGCGUAAAGCGCACGUAGGCGGCUUUGUAAGUUAGAGGUGAAAGCCCGGGGCUCAACUCCGGAAUUGCCUUUAAGACUGCAUCGCUAGAAUUGUGGAGAGGUAAGGUGGAAUUCCGAG